rnacentral:rRNA from 1 species
AACGAACGCUGGCGGCAGGCUUAACACAUGCAAGUCGAGCGCCCUUUUCGGAGGGAGCGGCAGACGGGUGAGUAACACGUGGGAAUCUACCCAUCACUACGGAACAACUCCGGGAAACUGGAGCUAAUACCGUAUACGUCCUUCGGGAGAAAGAUUUAUCGGUGAUGGAUGAGCCCGCGUUGGAUUAGCUAGUUGGUGGGGUAAAGGCCUACCAAGGCGACGAUCCAUAGCUGGUCUGAGAGGAUGAUCAGCCACACUGGGACUGAGACACGGCCCAGACUCCUACGGGAGGCAGCAGUGGGGAAUAUUGGACAAUGGGCGCAAACCUGAUCCAGCCAUGCCGCGUGAGUGAUGAAGGCCCUAGGGUUGUAAAGCUCUUUCACCGGUGAAGAUAAUGACGGUAACCGGAGAAGAAGCCCCGGCCAACUUCGUGCCAGCCGCCGCGGUAAAAC